CUGUUAUCCUUUACCAAAACAAAAUAUCUUGUUUGUACCCUUUCCAGUUACUCCUCCCUCCUCUGUGGCUCCAUACUGUCUAAGUGUUUGUGACUCAUACAACUUUCCUUCCCCCAGAGGCAAAAGGCCUUCCUUCAUUAUCACCAUAUCAGCUUAUACGUAGUGCUGCAGAUGAGGCUUUGAUGGUGAGUGGAUGUGAGGGAAUCUAGCAGAGGAUAGAUGCUGUCCUGAAAGACUUCUGUCACAUAUGAACUGUGGCGUUUCUGUCUACCUCGACCUAGUACUCUUUUGAGGUUGUGGACUUGGCAACGGCGUCUAGCCUUUGUGCAUACAUCCUUUCUUCUUCUUCAUGAAACAUUGUGUUUAUUGCUACAUUAACAGGAUAUCGUGUAAUCUGUUUACAGGUAGCCGUGCCAACCCCAUUGGAGAUGUAUGUUUGAAGAUAAUCGUAGGAAAUCCUCCACCCAACCCAGAGAAACCCUUUCCUGGUCAGCAGCAACCCUGGAGUACCCUACUACCUGACAGGGCCAGCUGGUCCCAGGGGAGCAGUUCCCCUUCCAGGAGCGACAGCAGCAGCUCUCCCACCCUCCUCACCUCAACACAGAAUCACGGGGCUGGAAGAACAAGUUCAAUCACCAUCAAGAUCACAAUCACCAUUGACUACAGAUCAAAUAUCUCUGGUUCCCACCAAUGAGAAACUCAAAAAGAUGAGACAAUGAACGUAAUGCAUUUUGUUAUUGUUGUUGUGAGAAACCCCAACUCAUCUCCUCCUCUAAAGGGGAAGUCUCACUCUUGUGCCACUGGUGUCGAUUUCCCCUCACAGAGACGAGAGACGGACAUGGCAUCACUCAGUUCCCCCUCGGGCUGGACAACAGGUCUUAUGUAAAGGAGCAGAGUGGUAGUUUUUCUGAGUGUGUGUGUGUGUGUGUUCACAUGUGUGUGUGUCUGCAUACAUGGUGGGGUAAGAGGUUUGUAAGCUGAUCAGGCUGUGUAAUGAUGUGCUGUGAUCAUCAACUGUGUCUCAUUUCAGAGAGAGAGAGAACUCCUGUCUUACUUCUCUGUAGGAAAUAUUUCACAUAUGAAUCACCUACCGCUCCCACAUGUAUUAUCCACAUCAGGAUAGAUGGAAUAAUUAAUUACAUUCUAAAGCCAUUAAACAUAGACAGAACAGUUAUGCAUUUUAAUGAUCAUCAUCCUUUAAAACAAAAUUCACAUUUUAAUUGAUUUUGUUUCCAUUACUUAAGUGUAGGAAUAGUUUUCUUUUAAAAAUACUUCCAAUUUUUGAACAUUUCUGUCACAUAAGACGUAUGAUGUGUAUUGAAACCCCACUCCCAUAACUCAUUGGGGUGACAGUGCCAAACAGAGCCGAAGACACCACGGCUUGAUAAGCAGGAUAUACGGUUACACCUGCCGAUAUGUAGAUAAGAUUACAUUUAAGACAGAGGGAUGAGUGGUGGAGGUGUAGGAGGUGGGUAAGAAUGGGGGGAUGUGGCCACUCAGUGAUGCAUGAAGAACAACAUCCAGGCUAGGGUAAGGUUGGGGUUGGGGCCGGGGCUGGGCGGAUGGCCAAGGGGUCGCGGGGUUGUGUUUACCUGUGGUAGGUAUUUCCUCUGGGAGCUGAUAAGACCGACGGAGGGGAAGUUCUGCGUUCCAGGUGAGUGCAGAGGGUCCUGCAAAACGACACCAAACACCAUCGACCCCCAACCCAUACCUAUACCUACCUCUCAGACUCCACCCCUACACACACCCACACACAGAUCCCGCCACUCCUCGACAUUCUGACACACACCUCACGCUCUGGCACGUUCGCUCACUCACCAAGACACAUUAAACACACAUGCCGGGCAUGGUUUCUCGCAGUCAUUCACACCCUCACGGACACAUAGGCCACUCAUGUUUAGUCAGCCAUGUUAUACUCUUGUCAUACUGUAGCAAUGGUAAAAAGGCAAUGUAAUGGGAUUGCAUCUUUAUAAGAUAUCCCAUACAAUUCACAGUAUCGCAUAAUAAAGGUAGGAUAGCUUAUAGAUCAAAUCUACCGUUGCUACAUUCAUUUUGGACUCAUAAAGGAAUUAUAUACUGUAUACCCAUUGAUUCUUGAAGAAUAUAACUUAUUAAGGCCCAAUGAGCUAGUUCAUCUGUUGUACCCCAUCAGAACCCAAAAUAGAAGCUUGUUUUACUCCAAUGUUUGUAAACAAAGAAAAUGUAAACAAACACUGUAUGGUCUUAAAACAUGGUUAAAACUAUAAUUUUGAUACCACAGAUGGUCAGUCCUUGUAUCAAUAACUUUGUCUAUGAAUUUGAGAGUGGUUACAUUUCUCCAGCCCCGCCCCUCAGCUUUUACCAAAACAGUGGUGGGGUGGACACUUUGUUAUUGUUUCAAUUGUGGAUUGGUCUUUUUAAACUGCACGAGAAAGCUUCAACAAUUCACAGUCUGACCUGUCGAUUGAAUAAAAUACGUAGACAUAAAUGAUGAAUUCUUCCACCCUGCAGGAGUGUCAUAGGAUUAGGCAGCUGUGGUACGGAGUCCCUCUUAGUUUGUUUGUUAUGAUUCUGUCUUCCCCUUCCUCACCUGGCCCAGCUCUGAGGCCCUCCCCCCAGGGUGCUGAGAGGAGUCAAUGAGCUAGAACAUGUUAACAAGGGAAGCCUAGACCAAUGUACUGACAGUCAUACAGAAAGGGCAGGGAGGAGGAAAGGGCCACUAUGACAAAGCAUGGUGCAAGAAAUUAUGCAAGAAAUGAUAGGGCUGCCCUUUUAGAAGUUGAAUGGUAAUCAAAUGGUCCAUUAAAUGUUGUGUACCUGUCCUUUGUUGUUGAUGGAAACCACACAGUGGUGGCGCCCUGGUGUUUGUUUUUGCAGAGCUUGGUGACAGGACUGGAAGCUCAGGUUCCCAUAAUAAACCAUUCUACCUGACUAUGACUAAACUUGACUACAUUUAAUUUCCUUGUUGUACCUCAUUUACUAGAAUAGAGAACAUGAGCUGGCGCACACCCAGAAUUUUUUUUUGUGGAGGUGCUGACUAACGGCGAAUAAACUCUGAACUAUAAAUAUAAACAGAGUCGCACACUCCAUAUACAGUAUAAACUCCCAGUAAUUUAUUGGGUAAAUCACCAACGUUUCGGCAUCACUGUGCCUUCUUAAGGAGUUUAUAUUUGGAGUGUGCGACUGUCUUUAUUUAUUACAUUUAAAAAAAGAAUUGUUCAUAGUACUUCACAUACUACAUACAGCAAAUUGGCCAAUGUUGAUAUUUUUCAGUGUAAAAUUUCCUGUGUUGAUUCUGGAGUUACAUUCACUCUGUAAUAUUUCAAUUAACACUUAGUGGUGUAUAAGAACCCACCGGUUUGGUGUUAAUAACAGAGUUAUCGUUUUACACCGUCCCAUCAAAACCACACCCAUUAUUAGCAUAUUUCACAGCACGCAGCUGCAGGUAGAUUGUUUUAGGUUGUUUUUCAAUAUCUGUGCGUGUACAUUGAUUUAUUAAUUAAUCUCACAAUACACAAAGAUAAAUAACAUUUAAAAAAGAAUUCAACGAAUCCAAUCAGUUAGUUACAUUUAUUGCACCCGUUACUGAAAUGGUUGUUCUGGUUUAAAUGGUUUAGGUCGUGGAUUUUAUGACAUCUCCCAACCCUGACAGUCAUUCUGAAUGCAGGUUGUGGGUAAAUAAAACAAUCCAACUUUUGGAUAUCCUAACUCUGACUGGAUUCCAAUAGGAAUUACACAUCACUUUGCAAGCCAGCAUAAUGUUAUUUGCAGGCCCGAUGUGGCCUGUAAACCAAGAGUUUCCUAACACCACUGGGUUAGGGUUAAACUACGCCAUCAACUAGGUCAAUAAGUAAGACCUUAUUAUAUAUGUAAUGUAUUGUAAUAGCGUUUAAUUUUAAUGAUAACCUUUACCCAGGAACUAAUUUGGUGAAUGCCACAGGUAUUUAAAAGGAAACAAUUCAACAACCACAUCUCUGUCUAUAAAUUACUCAAAAAGAAAGAAGGCCCCCUGAGAAAUAUGCAAAUGAGGCUUUAUACCAUACAGUUUUAAAACAACAACCAAAAAUGAUUUACUGUAACAUUACAGGUGUUAAUUUCUUACACUAAGAAAGUGUAACAGCAUCAGCACUAAGUGAAGUGAGUCCAGUUUACUCUAAAUCAAGUGUUAUGUUUUACACUGUAUUACGCUACAAUAGAGCUAUGCAAACACCACAAUCAAGUUCCUUUGAACACUUUAAGAGUAAAAUGGGGAACGCUGCAACAAAGUUACAUCUAAAACACUUUCAAAAGUGUUAAUUUUACACCCGUACAGUGGGACUCAUAUAUUCACUGAAAAUAGUGUACAUUUUACACUUUCAGAGUUGAAUGUACACCAUUGACUUUGCUAUGCACCAUCAUUAUAAUACAUCGUCCAAAGCAAUAUGUUUUCAACUUAGAUUUCAAAUGUUACGAUAUUGAGAAGGAAAUUAAAGUAGGCCCACACUCAUGCAAUGUGAAAUGUUUGGUAAAAAAAAAAAAAAAAACGUUCUUUCUGGAUUUUGGAGGCAUCGUGUGGGUUUAUACGCUGGUGUGCCUGUGUGUUACUGUGUGUGUCAGAGUAGCGUGACUGUUUUCUGCUAAGGAGAUGAAAGUAGUGUAUGAGGUAGGUGUGUAGUGGCACCC
rnacentral:lncRNA from 1 species